rnacentral:sRNA from 1 species
UGUUACUUCAGUUGAUUUGGUGGAUCAAUUAAAAACUUGGACCAGUUCAGAUAUCACAAAAUGGCUGACCAAACACAAUCUACACAUGACAGAGUUACAGAACUUGAGUCAACAGGAAAUUAUUUUCUUAUUCAACUUAAAGCAAGAGGCUGCCGAAUUUUUCUACCAUUGUCUUGAGACUAAGCUUAACCUGGUCACACUGCAAGAUCUGGCCAAAGCUGCUCAGGCAUUUGAAGACAUGACCAUUUGAGAACCUCUCUAUUUUUUGCUGGCUGUUCUUGUCUUUCAUUCCUGCAUAAAAUGUGAUAACAGUUCGGUACAAUUUGUUGACUUUGCUCAAUUGAUAUCUGAUGAUAUUAUCAAUGUAUUUUUAUUUAAGCAAAAGCUUAAGUUUGUACCAGUCAUUUUUUUAUUUGAAAGUGAAUAUUAUUUAAUGUUCCACUGAUUAUACCAGCAAGGUGCGAUGGCCAAGUGGUAAAGCUCUUUGGUUCCGAACUAGGGUCCCUGGUCUAAAUCCUGGGAUUUUUAAAUUUCAGGAUCUUUAGG